UACGUAGGGGGGCAAGCGUUUGUCCGGAAUUAUUGGGCGUAAAGCGCGUGUAGGCGGUCCGGUAAGUCGGUUGUGAAAGUCCAGGGCUCAACCCUGGGAUGCCGAUCGAUACUGCCGGACUAGAGUCCGGAAGAGGCGAGUGGAAUUCCCCGGUGUAGCGGUGAAAUGCGCAGAUAUCGGGAGGAACACCAAUGGCGAAGGCAGCUCGCUGGGACGGUACUGACGCUGAGACGCGAAAGCGUGGGGAGCGAACAGG
rnacentral:rRNA from 1 species